CUGGGGACCUGUCGUUAGAUGUCAAAUUCAAUGUUGUACAGAAGAAGGACCUCAUGCGAUUGAACUUUUUGGCAUGGUCGGACUUGUCCAAUCGGAAAGCCCCUGGGAAGCCUUGGAGUAACUAGUAAAGUUACUGCCACGUGACCAGGAGUUCACGGGUUCAAGCCGUAGAAACAUCCCCUUGCAGAAAUGUAAGAGUUGGCAAGCAGCAAUUGCGAGAAGCCUGGAUAGUUGGACUCUGCUUGGGAACACUUGCUAAAGUAAGCGAUGAAACCCUUGGAUUGAGUACCUUUACUCCUGCAUUGCAGUUCCUCUUCUCACCGAGAUUCCGGCUCUGAGAUCAUUUUCUCUAGAUACAUUACACUACUGGAGAGAGAGUGCAUCUGUCACGAGCAGUUUGGCAUACUUUCUGGCCAAGGAUAUGAUUGAUCAUAUCAAUACUAUUGUAAGGCCUGCAGUUUAUCUCUCAAUGUUCUACUUCUUCAACAAUCCAAGAUCUUUAAUUUUGGAUAAUUAUGUCGUCUUGCUUUGUGUCGUAUAUUGUGUUACUGGGAUAGCUUAUGCACUUUCCAUCUACUUUGAACCUGGUCAAGCUCAACUGGUGUGUACUCAGUACUUUGAUCUUACAAUACAUAUCAACUCCAACCGUUAUCCUCUAUUGCCGCAAUUCUCUACUAACAAACUGAUGUGUCUUUCAGUGGUCGGUGUUGCUACCAGUUGUCUUGACCCUCGUAGCAAGCAAGGGCAGUUGCGUUCACUGCAAUAGUAGGAGAUUAUAUCUAUUCAAAGUGGGCCUUGGAAGCAUUUAUAAUUGCAAAUGCUAGAAGGUACUUUGGGGUGUGGCUGAUCACAAGAUGUGGUGUACUAAGGACGAAAGGCUACGCGCUUGAUCAUUGGUACCCUUGCUUACUAAAACUCAUCCUUCUCGGUGCUGCCAGUCGCUGCGUAGCAUUUUUGUUAUUGAUAACUUUCCAGAAAAAAUAACACUUCAUUGUUGCUGUCUUGCUUCAUCACUUGGUAUGAAAGGAAGAAUGCCAGUUUACAGUCUCAAUACCAUGACGAAAAUGUUGGGAAGCCUCAAAAAGUUGGGUCCUUUGCGAAGAUUAUUGUACAUAACCAAAAACGUAAUUUACUCGAAACAGAUGGUAUAUAGCAGCACGAGUCAAUUAAAGAGGUUAUAUGAUUCUUUCUUCUACAGAUGGAAAAUCAAAUGUAACAUUUGUUAAUAGUAGUUUCUCUUGGAGAAUGAUUCUACCUGGUUCCUGUUGAUUUUAUGUUUUAAUAAAUUUUGAAAUAAAUACAUCGGUUAAAGAUUUUU